rnacentral:rRNA from 1 species
UACGUAGGGGGCAAGCGUUGUCCGGAAUCAUUGGGCGUAAAGAGCGUGUAGGCGGCCCGGUAAGUCCGCUGUGAAAGUCCAGGGCUCAACCCUGGGAUGCCGGUGGAUACUGUCGGGCUCGAGUCCGGAAGAGGAGUGUGGAAUUCCUGGUGUAGCGGUGAAAUGCGCAGAUAUCAGGAGGAACACCGGUGGCGAAGGCGGCGCUCUGGGCCGGUACUGACACUGAGGAGCGAAAGCGUGGGGAGCAAACAGG